rnacentral:rRNA from 2 species
AUGCAGUCGUACAAGGUAGCCGUAAGGGUGGAUUAGUGGCGAACGGGUGAGUAACACGUGGGCAAUCUGCCCUUCACUCUGGGACAAGCCCUGGAAACGGGGUCUAAUACCGGAUACCACUCUCACGGGCAUCUGUGAGGGUUGAAAGCUCCGGCGGUGAAGGAUGAGCCCGCGGCCUAUCAGCUUGUUGGUGAGGUAACGGCUCACCAAGGCGACGACGGGUAGCCGGCCUGAGAGGGCGACCGGCCACACUGGGACUGAGACACGGCCCAGAAUCCUACGGGAGGCAGCAGUGGGGAAUAUUGCACAAUGGGCGCAAGCCUGAUGCAGCGACGCCGCGUGAGGGAUGACGGCCUUCGGGUUGUAAACCUCUUUCAGCAGGGAAGAAGCGAAAGUGACGGUACCUGCAGAAGAAGCGCCGGCUAACUACGUGCCAGCAGCCGCGGUAAUACGUAGGGCGCAAGCGUUGUCCGGAAUUAUUGGGCGUAAAAGAGCUCGUUAGGCGGCCUUGUCACGUCGGGUGUGAAAGACCGGGGCUUAACCCCGGUUCUGCAUUCGAUACGGGCUAGCUAGAGUGUGGUAGGGGAGAUCGGAAUUCCUGGUGUAGCGGUGAAAUGCGCAGAUAUCAGGAGGAACACCGGUGGCGAAGGCGGAUCUCUGGGCCAUUACUGACGCUGAGGAGCGAAAGCGUGGGGAGCGAACAGGAUUAGAUACCCUGGUAGUCCACGCCGUAAACGGUGGGAACUAGGUGUUGGCGACAUUCCACGUCGUCGGUGCCGCAGCUAACGCAUUAAGUUCCCCGCCUGGGGAGUACGGCCGCAAGGCUAAAACUCAAAGGAAUUGACGGGGGCCCGCACAAGCAGCGGAGCAUGUGGCUUAAUUCGACGCAACGCGAAGAACCUUACCAAGGCUUGACAUACACCGGAAAGCAUUAGAGAUAGUGCCCCCCUUGUGGUCGGUGUACAGGUGGUGCAUGGCUGUCGUCAGCUCGUGUCGUGAGAUGUUGGGUUAAGUCCCGCAACGAGCGCAACCCUUGUCCUGUGUUGCCAGCAUGCCCUUCGGGGUGAUGGGGACUCACAGGAGACCGCCGGGGUCAACUUACAGCUACCUUGUUACGACGUCAAGUCAUCAUGCCCCUUAUGUCUUGGGCUGCACACGUGCUACAAUGGCCGGUACAAUGAGCUGCGAAACCGUGAGGUGGAGCGAAUCUCAAAAAGCCGGUCUCAGUUCGGAUUGGGGUCUGCAACUCGACCCCAUGAAGUCGGAGUUGCUAGUAAUCG